AAGUGCUGGGAUUACAGGUGUGAACCACCGCGCCCAACCUGGAUUUUUCUUUAGUAAAAUUCUCAUUUUUUGAUGCUUAUGCCCCUUUACUUCAGGUUUUAUCGUAUGUCCUGCAUCAGUAUUAAGCUUCUUUUCAGUUAUGUGUAUUUAGAUUAUAUUGCUUUAGUUUAAAAUAAAGUCUCAAAUCUUGGUUUGUGAUCCAUAAGGUUAUUUCAUAGUUGGACUUUUCCUUGUUUACAUUUGUCCUGUCACGGUGAAUUAAUAGCCUUUUUAAAAAUCUUUUCUACUGAGGCCACUGUAGAGUGUUAUUUUCCCCUUUCAUUCAUCCUCAUGAAGUGCUGGGAAGGGUAGGAUAGAUGGUGUUGAUGAUCACUACAAAGCGAUGCAGAAACCAGUGUACUUGUACCUAUUAAAAAGUGACAGCAAAUAUUACAAAUGACUUCUCCUACCCCCUGAGCCAUUUAAACAUGAACUUCCUACCUGAAGUCCUAUGACCCUCAGAUACUUUAAUGCAGUGAUCCCCAAACUUUUUGGCAACAGGGACUGGUUUUGUGGAAGACAGUUUUUCUGUGGACUGGGGUGCAGAUGACAAUGGUUUCAGGAUGAAACUUUUCCACCUCAGAUCAUCAGGCAUUAGAUUCUCAUAAGGAGUGUGAACUCACAUGUGCAGUUCGCAAUAGGGUUCGCUCUCCUAAGAGAAUCUAAUGCUGCUGGUAAUAUGACAGGAGGCGGAGCUUAGGUGGUAAUGCUCCCUUGCCUGCUGCUCACCUCUUGCUGUGCAGUGUGUUCCUAACUGGCUAUAGACUGAUACUGAUCCAUGGCCCAGGGGUUGGAGACCCUUGCUUUAAUGUAUAUUUCUUGGAAACAAGAAGAUUUUCCUAUAUAACCACAGAAUAACCAUUCACGUCAUGAAAUUAACAUGGAUACAUUACUACCACCAAAUUCUUGGACCCCAUUCAAGUUUCUCCAUCUGACCAAUAGUUUGUAUAUAUAAACAUAUAUUUAUACA